rnacentral:lncRNA from 1 species
UUAGAUUUGUGCAGUGACAACAAGUGGAUUUUCUUUAGAAAAACUAGUCGUGCUAGUUGUAUUGUACAAAUAUGCUGAAUUUCGAUGUGCUUCCAGAUGAACUAAUACUGAAUGUUUUCAUAUACACUGACCUACAACACCUUCUCCAGUCUGUAAAUAGAGUGUGUCAUAAGUUCAACGAUGUGAUAAAGAAGCACUCAAUACUAUGGUGCCAUUUCGAGUUUCCUGAACAACUGGAAUUGAAUAAAACCAAUUUGGAAAAUAUUCUGUCUCAUUCUGUGAGGAUUGUUGAUCUGUUCAUGCCAUGUACUGUUUUUAAAUGUAAAAUACCAGAAAUCGACAAAGUGUUUGCUGCAUCCAUGUUUACGUACUUGGACCACCUAAAUAUCAGUGAAGCUCCGAUUACAACGCUUUGUUGGUUAUACAAUGCACCAAAUAUUCGUGUAUUAGACCUCUCAGGUUGCAGUCUUCUCGUUGAUGAAGAUUUGCGCUUAUUACUGCAUUUGGCAUGAAGCUAUUAGUGGUAGAGGAGCAAACGAUACUGCCAGUGCAGUAGUUACAAUCCUCAAAGAUAUUAAACGUGUUCACGCUGAAAUUACUUCAUUCAUAUUGUGGUCUGAUGCAUGUGUUCCUCAGAACAAGAACUCUGUUAUGUCGUUUGCACUCAAGAGAUUCAUGGAGGACAAUAAUAUUGAGUCAAUGUACAAAACUUUGGCUGUCCUGGCCACUCGAGUGUACAAGAAGUUGAUAAUAUCCACAGUAAUAUCGAGAGGAUAACAAGAUAUGCAGAGAUUUACAGUCCCAUCGCAUUGAUAAGAGACCUGAAAUCAAUGCGACGUAGAAGUUCAGUACGCAUUAUCCAAAUGCAAAAGCACAAUUUCAUGGAUUAUCAGAAAUGUAUUAUGCCGUUAAAAUUCAACGAAAUUCCUUUCACCAAAGUGAAGUGUUUGAAGUACGAUAAGUGUUUGCAAUUUCACAUUGGGUACAAACUUUCGUAUAGUGCGACUGACUUCAGAACAGCCCAUAUUGAAAUUAGACAAACACGAGCACGAACCAACAAACAACCAGAAUUCUUACCAAGACCAGCACAAUCAAACAAAGUUCCAAUUAUUUCUCAAGACAAAAAGAAGGAGAUAACUUGUAUGCUCAAAUACAUGCCAGAGGUCGAUAGACAAAGCAUUGAAACUAGUUAUUAAUGAAUAAGUACUGGAAUGCUACUAAUAAAGCAUAAUUUUGUGCUUUGAAGUAUGCUUUAAAAGCCAAUGUGACAGAAUGUUUUGCGUUUGACUUGUUGCUAAGACUUUUUCUGAAAAUGUGUGUCUUUUAGUGGUUACCAGUUUGGUAUGUUUGUGAUUGACAUUUUGCAAAACUCUUUUGGUUAGUCUUUAAAUCCAAUGUUUUCAAGGAGGUGACAGUUUAAAAAUUGUACACAAUGUACUCUGAUUGUACACAAUCAUAAUCAACAUACAUUAUUCUAGACAAUAAUGGUGUUUAGUCCGUUUUACAUGUACCAGUUAAAUCUGUUUUGUGUUAGACUUUUUGCAAAGACAUUGUGAGGUAAAUUUAUAUGUGUUUUGAACAGUUUUAAAAGUUUAAUAUGUUUGUGUUUGACUUCUUGAAGAGACUUAUUAUGAUAAGUACACGCUAUGAACAUUUUAACUGGACAGACAAACAGUUUUUUUAUUGACAUUAUAUUUUUUUCGAUAGUUAAAAGUGGGUGAUUUAAGCAGUAUUCAUACUUGAAUCUAGAAAUUAAUGAAUAUGAAGAACUUGUAUGAUACUAUCAAAAUAUCAAUUUGCGCUUUUGAUUAUGCUUUAGAACUAAAGUAUCAGGUAAGGUGACUGGUUUUAGUACACAUUAUCAAUAGUGUAAUUAUGCUCUUAAUAUUUUAACUUUUUAUACAAGUUUCCAUGUUUUGUUUCAGACUUUUGGCAAUUACUUUUUAAGAUAAAUAAUUAUGUGCUUCGAACAAUUUUGUUUUGAAUUCCAAUACAAAGUGUUUAUAAUUUCUCUAUUGACCAUUCAAUAUCUCAGUAUAUCAGAGAGAUGGAUUUUUAAUAAAACUACUUAAUACUUACCAAUGCAUCAUGUUAAGUAAAAUAAUAAUCCCAUUCAGUGGAUACUAUUAUUUAAUUGAAUUUUCAAUUCAAAAUUUAACUAAGAAAGGUUUCAUCUCUGAAUUUUAUUUUUUUUAAAUAUCAAAACGUUUAUAUAAUAAUGUGCACUGUUUUAUUGUUUCUGGAAUAAAGUUACGUCAAAAUUA